rnacentral:rRNA from 1 species
AGUGAACGCUGGCGGUAGGCCUAACACAUGCAAGUCGAACGGCAGCACAGUAAGAGCUUGCUCUUACGGGUGGCGAGUGGCGGACGGGUGAGGAAUACAUCGGAAUCUACUUUUUCGUGGGGGAUAACGUAGGGAAACUUACGCUAAUACCGCAUACGACCUACGGGUGAAAGCAGGGGAUCUUCGGACCUUGCGCGAUUGAAUGAGCCGAUGUCGGAUUAGCUAGUUGGCGGGGUAAAGGCCCACCAAGGCGACGAUCCGUAGCUGGUCUGAGAGGAUGAUCAGCCACAAUGGAACUGAGACCCGGUCCAGACUCCUACGGGAGGCAGCAGUGGGGAAUAUUGGACAAUGGGCGCAAGCCUGAUCCAGCCAUACCGCGUGGGUGAAGAAGGCCUUCGGGUUGUAAAGCCCUUUUGUUGGGAAAGAAAAGCAGCAGGUUAACAUCCCGCUGUUCUGACGGUACCCAAAGAAUAAGCACCGGCUAACUUCGUG